UACGAGAGGCCCAAACGUUAUUCGGAUUUACUGGGCUUAGAGAGUUCGUAGGCGGCUUGGAAAGUGGGGUGUGAAAGCCCUCGGCUCAACCGAGGAACCGCGCUCCAAACUCCCAAGCUUGAGGAAGCUAGAGGUGAGCAGAACAGAUGGUGGAGCGGUGAAAUGCGUUGAUAUCAUCUGGAAUACCGGAGGCGAAGGCGGCUCACUGGGACUUUUCUGACGCUGAGGAACGAAAGCUAGGGGAGCGAACGGG
rnacentral:rRNA from 1 species